rnacentral:rRNA from 1 species
AUGUCACAACGUAACACCAAGAUCCUAUGCUAGAACAUUCGCGGCCACAACGCCGAUGUGAGAAAAGAUGUCAUCCGCGACAUCAUUCGCGACACUCACUCCAUGAUUGUUUGCAUCCCAGAAACUAAGCUUGCAGUCAUCAAUGAUAGUAUCAUUAGUCGCGCCCUCGGACCGCAAUUUGUGUCAAACUAUUGCUUCAGCCCUGCUCAGGGGACUCGGGGAGGCAUGGUGAUGGCCGUCUCCGAUGCCUUUUUCAGUAUGUCCAAGGUUGUCCACACAGAAAACACCAUAUCUGCAACCAUCACUAUGUUAGCUGAUGGAUCCUCCUGGACAAUGACUGGAGCUUAUGGACCGCAAUCCGAGCAGGAAAAGCUUGCUUUCCUCGAUGAAAUUCUGCAACUACAACCCAACGUGCGUGACCAGUGGAUUCUGCUUGGCGAUUUCAAUUUGAUCGUCAAAGCGGCCGACAAAAGUAACAACAGAAUAAAUAGAAGGCUCCUUGGAAAAUUUAAAACAGUGCUCGACUCACUCAUGCUCAAGGAAAUGCGAUUGAACGGGCGCCGCUUCACCUGGUCAAACGAGCAGCAGAACCCAACACACACCAAGAUUGACCAUGUCUUCUGCACAAAUGAUUGGGAGAUGUUGUUCCCCGCAGCACACCUUCAAGCUCUCCCCACUAUGUGCUCAGACCAUUUGCCCAUUAUUCCUGCAAGGAGAUUUUGCCGAAACAAACAACACCUUUUUCAAGUUUGA